UAAUGUGAAAGCAUUUUGUGUUGUAAGGCUUGCCUUACAUAGUCAGUACAGGUGCUGCAUGGCUGUCGUCAGCUCGUGCCGUGAGGUGUCCGGUUAAGUCCGGUAACGAGCGCAACCCCUAUGUUUAGUUGCCAGCACGUAAGGUGGGAACUCUAAAGAGACUGCCGGCGACAAGCCGGAGGAAGGCGGGGACGACGUCAAGUCAUCAUGGCCCUUAUGCCUUGGGCUACACACAUGCUACAAUGGCGGAUACAAUGGGUUGCCAAACCGUGAGGUGGAGCCAAUCCCAUCAAAGUCCGUCUCAGUUCGGAUUGCAGGCUGCAACUCGCCUGCAUGAAGUUGGAAUCGCUAGUAAUCGUGGAUCAGCACUGCCACGGUGAAUACGUUCCCGGGCCUUGCACACACCGCCCGUCACACCACGAAAGUCGGUUCUGCCCGAAGUGGUUGAGCUAACCCGCAAGG
rnacentral:rRNA from 1 species